ensembl:lncRNA
CAGCACUUGGUCUUGUUGAACUUCAUCCCACUGGCCUCAGCCCAGCUACCCAGCCUGUCCAGAUUGCUCUAUAGGGCCUUCCUACCCCCAGGCAGAUCAACGCUUCUCCCCAGCUUGGUGUCAUCUGCAAACUUACUGAGGGUACACUCAAUGCCCUCAUCCAGGUCAUCAGUAAAGAUAUUGAAAAGGACAAGCCCCAGUACCAACCCCUUGGGAGCACCACUCAUGACUGGUCAACAGCUAGAUGUGACUCCAUUUACCACUGCACUCUGAGGCCAGCCAUCCAGCAAGGUCCUGCUGCACAAGAUACAGAUUUCUCAUGUUGCCCAAAACCAGCUUGGACAGCUUGGUGUUAUCUUUUGUUUUAUGAGUUUGGAUUGACAAGUUAUUUGAAGGAUGACAGUGCUCAAGGUAAGGGAUAUAUCUUCAUGGUGUUUUGUGAUGCCAUUGUUAAAUACAAAGUACUGCAAACCUGAACUUCCCCUAAGUUACCUGUUUUUCAAAGACUGUAAUUUCCAAACAGCUGGAUUUCCUUCUAGAAGUUCAUUCU